GUGAAUCAUCAAAUUUUUGAACGCAAAUUGCGCCUUUUUCUGAAGGCAUGUCUGUUUGAGGGCCCCAUUUAACAAAUAAUGUGCAUUACGUGUGCACACGUUGGUGAGCUUUCCAAAACUAUGUAUUAUUCUUUUUUGUAGCGCAUAAUUAAACAGCCCGAUGCUUUUUUUCAGUUCGAGAGUAGUAAAAUUUUUUCUUGCUUGGGUUGUGAAAACCGUGCUCG
rnacentral:misc_RNA from 1 species